AGGACCGAAAUAAAAAGCAAUGGGGAAAUUGGGCAGCCUUGUCGUGUCCCUUUCUCUAUCUUAAAUUCCUCUGUCAUCACAUUAUUGACUAUUAGCUUAGCCUUUUGUUCUGAAUAAAUUGCACUUAUACCAUUUUCAAACCCUUGACCCACCCCCAUCCCCUGAAGAUUUUUCUUCAUAAAAUUCCAAGAAAUAUUGUCAAAGGCUUUCUCCGCAUCUAUAAAAAUUAAAACUGCUAUAGUAUUAAUAUUCACUUGCAACUUCUCCAAAAUGUUAAUUAUGUUCCUCGUGUUGUCAUUAUCUUUUAAAAUUUUGGUUCUCAAGGAAGAGGCAGCCCAGGAAUACAAGGCAGGAAUUUACCUGGGAUCUUGCUAACAAAAUCCUUUCAUAGCUUUUUGUGAGGGAUUUGCGGCUGCUAAUCUUAAAGCCAGGAUGAGCACUCAGAAUUGGGCAUCAUUUCCUCUGUUAUUAAAAAUAAAAUACUUGUUCUGCUUCUAAAGAAACCCUUUAGAAUGCAUUCUUAUUCUUUUUUCAUAAAAAAAUUCAAACAGCUGUGCAAAGGUGCUCCUGUGCAAUACAAUGUCAGAAUAACAAAAUAAUGAAACAUCUCACAAGAGCCUUGUUUUUUAAAUAUACAGCUAAAAAACCUUAAAACUCCUACAACACUUACCAAAUAGAAAUCUAAUAGCUGGCCCCCCAGGCACUAGGAGGCAACCUGAUGUUCAAGGCUUCACCCCACCCCCAAACUCUGAGCUUUUGCCUGGAGCAUUUGAGGGGAAAGAGAGAGAACAUUGGGGCAUACGAAGCAGACAUAGAAAAAGAAAGUGACAACCUGCUUAUAAUUCAGUGGGGCCUCUUCUCAGUUCAUUCUCUUCUGGAUCAGUGCCUUAAUCCUUUGAAGAUUUUGUAUAUCACAGAAUAGUCAUUGAGAUGUCCCCAGAUGUUGUUGUCAAGUUCCCAUCAGCUUCAGCCAGCAGGGCAGACAGUCAAGGAUGAUAGAAACUCCAAUCUGGACCUCACCACCUGGACUCUGCUGCCCUAUAUCCUUCCCAUUGAAAGAAAUGUGAAAAUAAAUUUUGGACGCUAUAGAUUUAU